AGUAGUUAUUGAUAUUUUAAUUAUCAAACUCGCUUCUCUCUCUGGUUAUAUAUAAAGAAGUAGCAUCGUAACGGAUGCGUGUUUCUCCCGAUCAAGUUUCACCCAUUUAAAAAAUGUUCUUGAGAAAAUUCUGCCAAAUAUACUAGCUUAUAAUUCUGUUGGGAGAAAAUGAAAACUUGUUAUAUCUUCUUAAAUGACCUAAACAUCUUACUGUUAGUCCUCCAGGGCCUAAAAACUCAAUUAAUCAAAUUCUCUCUUCAUACAUUCCUCAAAAAAUCCGAUUCAUGCAGAUUCUUCCAAAUAUCAAUAGGUUGAUUGUUUAGCUCCUGUAUCUUCCAAAAGAAAAAAAAAAGAUAGAGUUGUUUUCUGAAUAUAAAGAGGGGAAAAUCAAACUUCCAUGGAAGAGAAGCAAAUGAAAGGCUUUCAUAAAAAUUCUUGUAUCUUAAAUGACCUUAACAUCUUAUCAAGCCUUAUCCUCAAUAUUUUGAGAUAACAGUCUGUCUCAAGUUCACUAGUGUGUGUGAUUCUUAUUCUUGUAUUUCUAUACUCAUUCUUAAAUUCAUUUAUCAUACUUCGAUGCAGAGUUUCUUUUUGAUGAAAUGUUAAAUUGAUACUUUCUUCCAAUAUCGUGAACUUGAAUAAUUGUGUGUAACUAAAACCAAUCUUUUAUGUUAUUAUAAAAUCAAUGUUUUUUUUUCCUAUAAUACUACUUGGAUAGAAUAAAAACGAUGUAAACAAUCUAUUAUAUGUUGUUCAUUUUUGUGAAAAUAGGUGAGCACUAUGGACAGGAUUGUGGAAGGAGAUGCAGGAAAGGCAAUUUGCAAGGAAGUAAAAGGGUUGAAGGCACCUGUUGUUGUUAUGGGCACCAUGGGAUGAAGCUUGACCCAGAGGUUCUCUCUAACAUGUGUUCAAGGGCACAGAUAUCUAAUCGCACAUGCUCCAGUACGUUUCUAUGCUCGACUCAUAUCUUUGAUUGUUUUAACUUCAGUAUACUGCAGGGAGGCUUCAAUGAAUAUUGCUUCCACAAUUGUAAAAUUGGACCAAGCAUUGUUGUUCCUGGAAAAGAGACUGGGGAAGAAUCCGUGUUAUGGUGGAACAAGCAAAAAGAUGAACAUUUCAGCAUGUAUCUCUUAGUUGCCACUGUUUAAAUGAAGGUGCGUUUUAUUGAAUGUGAGUGUAUAUUAUUAGUAGAUCGUCUACUCGUAGGUGUAAUAUGGUUUUACAUUUAUGCGUAUCAGCUUUGUGUGUGUGCUGAUUGAUGUUCGAAUUUGUGAGGCACUGCAACUCUAUUGUAUGCAUAUGGAUGUUGUUGGGUUUCGAUACCUAGUAAAUUCGGGCGUUGAUGUUAAAACAUUGUUUGGGAUAAUUAUAUCAACACCAUUUUGAUUGGUUCGACCAAGAAACAACCUGUGCCAAUAGAGGUAACUUAAUUGAUUAAAAUUGCUAAUGGCCCAAUUCACUUGAGGAUGUGUAUUUGUAUCACACUUCUAAUAGUUGAUUUGUAUGAUUCACCUAGUUACUUCACCUAUUCAAAGGAUAUGCCAUUACGAGUACUUACUCCGUCAAUGAUGCACAUACUCGUGGUGUUAUCGAAUAUGUUAUUGUUUCUCAUUUCAAUGAGGAAUCGAUGAAGUUUCAACGCUUGUGAAUGCAAAAAUCUCGACUCCGUUGAGUCAUUUAAAAAUUUAUAUUACACUUAUAAUGUAUAAAAAAGAUGCAUUAUCCUUGUUGUGACUUAACUAAUUCAACAUAUGAAAUAAAACGCUAUUUUAUAUAUGUGAAAUCACACAUAACACACACACAGAAAAUGUUUCUCCUUUUUGUAAUUAGGAGAGAGCCAGUUGACCCCGGUUUCCUCUUGAGAAAAUCAUCCUAAUUUCCAGCAUCGGCCUUUUGUACUCUGAUUCUAAAGGAAACUAUGACUUCCAUACAUAAUAUUUUGCUUCGGGAAUAAGGGAUACAAGCCCGCAUCAUUUAUGCAGAUAUACAUUUUUCUUUUGGUGCAUGCAUCAUAGAUCCAAUGAUCUAUACCACUUUUUAUUAACUAUUUUACGGUAAAAUUGGCUGCCGGAUCAAGUAUUAGGCAUGCUUCUGCUUCAUCUGAUCAAUUUAACUCUUUCCUUCUUCAGUUUACAAGUUUAUAUAGAAUCAAUCAAAUAUCCAUCUUUGACAGAGCAUUCAACAAAAGAUUGAUCGCUAACAGAAUAACGCAAAUCCACUGGAUCUGAAUGUGAGUGGACACAGUAUUACAAAUUGCAAGUUUUCCCACACCAGUCAUUGCGUCAAAGAGAAUCAAGGAGAUCUGGCUUUUGG